GGGCCCGUAGCUCAACGGUAGAGCAAUUCCCUUUUAAGGAAUUGGUUGAGCGUUCGAAUCGCUCCGGGCUCA
rnacentral:tRNA from 1 species